AGAGUUUGAUCAUGGCUCAGAACGAACGCUGGCGGCAUGCCUAACACAUGCAAGUCGAACGUGGUCCAGGCUUCGGUCUGGUGAAAGUGGCAAACGGGUGAGUAACGCGUGGGAACCUGCCCAGAGGUAGGGAAUAACCGCGGGAAACUGCGGCUAAUACCCUAUGUGUCCUGAGGGACAAAGAUUUAUCGCCUUUGGAGGGGCCCGCGUCGGAUUAGGUAGUUGGUGGGGUAACGGCCUACCAAGCCAUCGAUCCGUAGCUGGUCUGAGAGGAUGAUCAGCCACACUGGGACUGAGAUACGGCCCAGACUCCUACGGGAGGCAGCAGUGGGGAAUAUUGGACAAUGGGGGCAACCCUGAUCCAGCAAUGCCGCGUGAGUGAUGAAGGCCUUCGGGUUGUAAAGCUCUUUCGGCGGGGAAGAUGAUGACGGUACCCGCAGAAGAAGCCCCGGCUAACUUCGUGCCAGCAGCCGCGGUAAUACGAAGGGGGCUAGCGUUGUUCGGAAUUACUGGGCGUAAAGGGCGCGUAGGCGGUGCUGUAAGUCAGGCGUGAAAUCCCCGGGCUCAACCUGGGAAUUGCGCAUGAUACUGCGGCGCUGGAAUGCGGGAGAGGAUGGCGGAAUUCCCAGUGUAGAGGUGAAAUUCGUAGAUAUUGGGAAGAACACCGGUGGCGAAGGCGGCCAUCUGGCCCGUGAUUGACGCUGAGGCGCGAAAGCGUGGGGAGCAAACAGGAUUAGAUACCCUAGUAGUCC
rnacentral:rRNA from 1 species